rnacentral:rRNA from 1 species
UGAGUAACGCGUGAGGAACCUGCCUUUCAGGAGGGGGACAACAGUUGGAAACGACUGCUAAUACCGCAUAACGUAUAGAGAUCGCAUGGUCUUUAUACCAAAGUAUUUUAUCGCUGAAAGAUGGCCUCGCGUCUGAUUAGCUAGUUGGUGAGGUAACGGCCCACCAAGGCGACGAUCAGUAGCCGGACUGAGAGGUUGACCGGCCACAGUUGGGACUGAGAUACCGGCCCAGACUCCUACAGGAGGCAGCAGUGGGGGAUAUUGGGCAAUGGGCGCAAGCCUGACCCAGCAACGCCGCGUGAAGGAAGAAGGCUUUCGGGUUGUAAACUUCUUUUGUCAGGGAAGAGUAGAAGACUGUACCUGGCGAAUAAGCCACGGCUAACUACGUG